rnacentral:rRNA from 1 species
UACGUAGGGGGCAAGCGUUGUCCGGAUUUAUUGGGCGUAAAGAGCGUGUAGGCGGCUAGAUAGGUCCGUUGUGAAAACUCGAGGCUCAACCUCGAGACGCCGAUGGAAACCAUCUGACUAGAGUCCGGAAGAGGAGACUGGAAUUCCUGGUGUAGCAGUGAAAUGCGUAGAUAUCAGGAGGAACACCGAUGGCGAAGGCAGGUCUCUGGGCUGAAACUGACGCUCAUGCACGAAAGCGUGGGGAGCAAACAGG